rnacentral:tRNA from 1 species
AUUUAUAUAGAUCAUAUAUUAGAUCGUAACACUGAAGAUGUUAAAGAGGUUAUUUGACCUGUAAAUA